rnacentral:lncRNA from 1 species
ACAGCUUCAUUGAAGAAGCACAAAGAAAAGGCAGCCGUUGAGAAAGGGAGUCUGUGUCUGCCGUGAGAGGAUCAGAGACCUGCGGGGACACAGAGCAAGGCAGGAGUUCGGGGCCAGCAGAGAAGAGCUUGCUCUCACCGGUGAACAAUGUGGCCUUGUUGGGGCUGGAGGAAUAACUCAGAGGGUGAAAGGCAAACCUGACAACCUGCGUUCAUCAAAUAUCCCCCAACCACAGAUUUGCACAUACAUAGGCCCUCACCCAUCCACAGGUGACUUCCAAAUCUACUCAGGCUGACAAUCGAGAUGAACCCUCAGGACGUCUCGUAUUUAUGAACAUUCUUCUAUCUACUGGAUCAUUCUCAUAAACAUGUGUGGCACGUGCUACAGUUUUGCCGUCCUACAAUAAAUAAAUAUCUGGGAAGAUGACUCAGUUGGCAAAGUGGUUCAAGUUUGAGGACCUGAGUCCAUAAAAAGGUGCACACAGUGGCACGUGCUCACAAACCCAGGACAGGGGUGGCACGGGCAGGAGGAUCCCUCCAGUUCUCUGGCCAGCCAGUCUAGCUGAACUAGUGGACUCCAUGAUUAUCAAAAAGCUGUCUCCAAAUGUAAGGUGACUGUGGGACCCUGAAAGGUAGCAUGGUUCCUGGUUGAGCUAAGGCUAGA